rnacentral:tRNA from 1 species
ACCAUCACGGCUGAGCGGGUUAGUAUCUGACUGUAAAUAAGGUGGUAGUGGGUUCAAUCCCCACUGUGGGGA